rnacentral:rRNA from 1 species
AGGACGAACGCUGGCGGCACGCUUAACACAUGCAAGUCGAACGGAGUUAUUGGAGCUUGCUCUGAAUAACUUAGUGGCGGACGGGUGAGUAACACGUGAGCAACCUGCCUUUGAGAGUGGAAUAGCUUCUGGAAACGGAUGGUAAUACCGCAUAACAUUACCGGACCGCAUGAUCUGGUAAUCAAAGAUUUAUCGCUCAAAGAUGGGCUCGCGCCUGAUUAGAUAGUUGGUGGGGUAACGGCCUACCAAGUCGACGAUCAGUAGCCGGACUGAGAGGUUGGACGGCCACAUUGGGACUGAGACACGGCCCAGACUCCUACGGGAGGCAGCAGUGGGGAAUAUUGCACAAUGGGCGGAAGCCUGAUGCCAGCGAUGCCGCGUGGAGGAAGAAGGUUUUCGGAUUGUAAACUCCUUAUCUGAGGGACGAUAAUGACGGUACCUCAGGAGAAAGCUCCGGCUAACUACGUGCCAGCCGCUGC